UACGGCCACAUCAAAUUUGAAACAUCGAUUCCCCUACGAUCACCGAAGAUCAUCGAACAACGUCGAGCCUGGUCAGUACCUAGAUAGGUGACUUCUUGGGAAUACCAGGUGCUGUAAGC